rnacentral:rRNA from 1 species
UCUAGCACCUUCGGUGUUCGAGUUGUAAUUUGAAGAUGGUAACCUUGGGUUUGGCUCUUGUCUAUGUUCCUUGGAACAGGACGUCAUAGAGGGUGAGAAUCCCGUCUGAUGAGAUGCCCAUUCCUAUGUAAGGUGCUAUCGAAGAGUCGAGUUGUUUGGGAAUGCAGCUCUAAGUGGGUGGUAAAUUCCAUCUAAAGCUAAAUAUUGGCGAGAGACCGAUAGCGAACAAGUACAGUGAUGGAAAGAUGAAAAGAACUUUGAAAAGAGAGUGAAAAAGUACGUGAAAUUGUUGAAAGGGAAGGGCAUUAGAUCAGACUUGGUGUUUUACGAUUAUCUUCUCUUCUUGAGUUGUGCACUCGUAUUUCACUGGGCCAGCAUCGAUUCGGAUGGCAAGAUAAUGGCAGUUGAAUGUGGCUUCACUCGGUGGAGUGUUAUAGCUUCUGCUGAUAUUGCCUGUCUGGAUCGAGGGCUGCGUCUUU